rnacentral:rRNA from 1 species
UACGGGGGGGGCGAGCGUUAAUCGGAAUUACUGGGCGUAAAGCGCGCGUAGGCGGCUUUGCAAGUCGGGUGUGAAAUCCCCAGGCUUAACCUGGGAACUGCAUUCGAGACUGCAUUGCUAGAGUAUGGGAGAGGGAAGUGGAAUUUCCGGUGUAGCGGUGAAAUGCGUAGAUAUCGGAAGGAACAUCAGUGGCGAAAGCGACUUCCUGGACCAAUACUGACGCUCAUGUGCGAAAGCGUGGGGAGCAAACAGG